GGUCAAGUUAUUAAGGGUGCAGGGCGGAUGCCUUGGCACUAGGAGCCGAUGAAGGACGUGAUAAGCUGCGAUAAGCUUCGGGGAGUUGCACGUAAACUUUGAUCCGAAGAUUUCCGAAUGAGGAAACUCACUUAGAGUAAUGUCUAAGUAUCAUUAAGUGAAUACAUAGCUUAAUGAGGGGAACUCAGGGAACUGAAACAUCUAAGUACCUGAAGGAAGAGAAAGAAAUUCGAUUCCGUAAGUAGCGGCGAGCGAACGCGGAUUAGCCCAAACCAAUAAAGUUUUCUUUAUUGGGGUUGCGGACAUAUCAUAACGAAGAGGUAUCGUAAUUGAAGAGGUUUGGAAAGACCCACCACAGAAGGUAAUAGUCCUGUAUGUUAAACGAGAAGACUUCAGAUAUGAUCCAGAGUACCACGGGACACGUGAAACCCUGUGGGAAGCAGGAGGGACCACCCUCCAAGGCUAAAUACUACCUAGUGACCGAUAGCGUAUAGUACCGUGAGGGAAAGGUGAAAAGAACCCCGGGAGGGGAGUGAAAUAGAACCUGAAACCCUGCACUUACAAGCUGUGGAAGCACAUUUCUUGUGUGACCGCGUACUUUUUGUAGAACGGGCCAACGAGUUACGUUAAGUAGCAAGGUUAAGCACUUAAGGUGUGGAGCCGUAGCGAAAGCGAGUUUUAACUGAGCGUUCAGUUACUUGACGUAGACCCGAAACCGGGCGACCUACCCAUGAGCAGGAUGAAGCGAAAGUAAAAUUUCGUGGAGGUCCGAACCCACGAGCGUUGAAAAGCUCGGGGAUGACUUGUGGGUAGCGGUGAAAUUCCAAUCGAGCCCGGAGAUAGCUGGUUCUCCCCGAAAUAGCUUUAGGGCUAGCCUCAAGGUGAGAGAUACGGAGGUAGAGCACUGAAUGUCCUAGGGGGUAUUGCACCUACCGAAGACUAUCAAACUCCGAAUGCCGUCAUCUUAUACUUGGGAGUCAGACUGUGGGUGAUAAGAUUCAUAGUCGAAAGGGCAACAGCCCAGAUCGUCAGCUAAGGUCCCUAAAUGUAAGUUAAGUGGUAAAGGAUGUGGGAUUGCACAGACAACCAGGAUGUUGGCUUAGAAGCAGCCACUCAUUCAAAGAGUGCGUAAUAGCUCACUGGUCGAGUGAUCCUGCGCCGAAGAUUUCCGGGGCUAAAACUUACUACCGAAGCUACGGCAUCAGUAAUGAUGGGUAGGGGAGCUUCCCAUACGGGUUGAAGCAUGACCGUAAGGACAUGUGGACAGUAUGGGAGUGAGAAUGUUGGCAUGAGUAGCGAGAUGUGGGUGAGAAUCCCACAGGCCGUAAACCCAAGGUUUCCAGGGGAAGGUUCGUCCGCCCUGGGUUAGUCGGGACCUAAGCUGAGGCCGAAAGGCGUAGGUGAUGGACAACAGGUUGAUAUUCCUGUACUACCGAUAACCGUUUGAGAGAAGGGAUGACACAGUAGGAUAAGCUAAGCACACUGUUGGUUAUGUGUGCCCAAGCAUUGAGGCAGUCAAAGUAGGCAAAUCCGCUUUGAUAAUGCUGGGAUGUGAUGGGGAGCGAAAUUUAGUAGCGAAGUAGCUGAUUUCACACUGUCAAGAAAAGUCUCUAUCGAGGUUAAAGGUACCCGUACCGCAAACCGACACAGGUGGGUGAGGAGAGUAUCCUAAGGCCAGCGAGAGAACUGUUGUUAAGGAACUCGGCAAAAUGACCCCGUAACUUAGGGAUAAGGGGUGCCACCAUCAGGUGGCCGCAGAGAAUAGGCCCAAGCGACUGUUUACCAAAAACAUAGGUUUCUGCUAAGUCGCAAGACGAUGUAUAGGAGCUGACGCCUGCCCGGUGCUGGAAGGUUAAGGGGAUCUGUUAGAGCAAUCGAAGCAGUGAACUUAAGCCCCAGUAAACGGCGGCCGUAACUAUAACGGUCCUAAGGUAGCGAAAUUCCUUGUCGGGUAAGUUCCGACCCGCACGAAAGGCGUAACGAUUUGGGCACUGUCUCAACAACAGACUCGGUGAAAUUGUAAUUCCGGUGAAGAUGCCGGAUACCUGCGACAGGACGGAAAGACCCCAUGGAGCUUUACUGUAGCUUGACAUUGGGUCUUGGUACUACAUGUACAGGAUAGGUGGGAGGCUUUGAAACCAGGACGCCAGUUUUGGCGGAGCCAUCCUUGGGAUACCACCCUUGUAGUACUGGGACUCUAACCAUAGGCCAUGAAUCUGGUCUUGGGACACUGUCAGGUGGGCAGUUUGACUGGGGCGGUCGCCUCCCAAAAGGUAACGGAGGCGCUCAAAGGUUCUCUCAGUACGGUCGGAAAUCGUACGUAGAGUGUAAAGGCAAAAGAGAGCUUGAUUGCAAGACAUACAGGUCGAGCAAGGAUGAAAAUCGGACUUAGUGAUCCGGUGGUUCUGCGUGGAAGGGCCAUCGCUCAACGGAUAAAAGCUACCCUGGGGAUAACAGGCUUAUCUCCCCCAAGAGUCCACAUCGACGGGGAGGUUUGGCACCUCGAUGUCGGCUCAUCACAUCCUGGGGCUGUAGUAGGUCCCAAGGGUUGGGCUGUUCGCCCAUUAAAGUGGUACGCGAGCUGGGUUCAGAACGUCGUGAGACAGUUCGGUCCCUAUCCGUCGCAGGCGUAGGAAAUUUGAGAAGACCUGUCCUUAGUACGAGAGGACCGGGAUGGACGUACCUCUGGUGUACCAGUUGUUCUGCCAAGGGCAUGGCUGGGUAGCUAUGUACGGAAUGGAUAAGCGCUGAAAGCAUCUAAGCGCGAAGCCAACUUCAAGAUAAGAUUUCCCACCGUAAGGGUAAGACCCCAGAAAGACUAUCUGGUUGAUAGGUCGAAGGUGUAAGUGCAGCAAUGUAUUUAGCUUAUCGAUACUAAUAGGUCGAGGACUUGACCAA
rnacentral:rRNA from 1 species